rnacentral:lncRNA from 1 species
CAAAACUGAGUGACUCUUAAGAAUUUAUUCCAAGGCAACAGACACAGACAAUAAAUCACAACGCAUAAGGAGUAUAUUCAUACUACAAUUAGGUCAGCUAAGGAAAGCACUUAGGAACUAAGGAAAAAAUUCUAUGAGAAUCUGGAAGACUAAAUGGGCAUGUUGUCAAGAGAUAACAUUUCAAGCCCCAUCUUAACUGAGAUCCAAGCCAUGUACAGCCCAGUACAAACACAACUACUAGAAACAACAUUUUUUUCACGGUUUCUUUCACUAGUAUGGUGUGAAAUUUGUUUUAUGUGGAAAAUGAUAUUAUGUUCCAUAUACAACUUGCCUGCAUAGGGAUAUUUUGCUGCAGCAGAACAUAAGCAAGCUGUUGUAGUUUGGCCUUAAGUGGCCAGCUUAUUUUUACUAUUGUGUUACCUAACCCUCCUUUGCAAACACAAAGCCUUUUUCAAAAUGCUGCCUGCCUUUGUAAGAUUGCCAAUCCCAAAAUAAAAGUUUGCCCAAGCUGUUUAUUCCUACAAAUACACUUAGAAGCUAUAACUAUUCAACCUUUCAUAAUCACUUGCUUUACAAGACAGGAGCUUAGUAUCAAUGCUACAAUGUGAAAAAAUGGUUCUAUUUUCUUCUUCCAGCAAAUUGGAUUCUGCAAAGGCUCUGUAGUAAACAGUCGCAUGGAAAAGUUUGUCACAGUAUCCUGUGAAAUCUACAGUCCGCAGGGUCCUGCCACUGAAGAGGAGAAACAGGAAGCUAAUCAGACACCUGAAAAAUCCAGCCAGAAUCAACAAGCUUCCCAUUCAGAAGCCGAUCCUUUCUCCCCACACCUAGAAAAAACAGUGGGCUGGGUGAAAAUUCUACCCCCUUCAGAUGAGGACAUCAGUUUCUAUAGCCUAAGAGAAAGUCAAAAUGAACAUAAAGAUGGAAAGCCAGCUCCACCUAAGGCUGUAGGACCUACACCCAAUUUUGAUGGAGAAAAGACUCAAGUAAACAAACCAGACUUGACCAAACCAGUCACUGGACCAGUUUUUCUCCCUUUUCCUGAAGAACUUUCUCUAUCAGACUCGUGCCCAGGAGAAGCAAAGCAGAUGGAUGGCAUCCUUCAUCCUUUGAUAACUAGAAAGCCUGCCACGGUCUAGCCAGCAUCCAACCACCUCAGCUAUCUGUAACAAAAUAACAGCCACCAUGGCAACCCAUUCUUGCAAUUGUGUAACAUCUUCAAGUAAAUAAAUUGCUUAUCACAGUCUUCA